rnacentral:lncRNA from 1 species
AGACAUGGACAUUUAUUCACUGUCUGGUCAAGGGCCACUGACCACAUUGCCUCUGCAUAUCUCAACCCCUUGCAAAAAGUAGGGUAUCUCUUUUGUAGCCCAAACCUGCAAACUACCAGUAAUUCAAAGCCAUAGCUAUAUAGUAGGUGGGUCAGAAUGACCCAGUUCAAGGUACAGUACACUUCCCAUGAGAAAUAUCAACUAAAAGAGAGCAUCUUACAACUGUAUUUCUUGAUAAUACAUUGUAUAAGAAUAAGAAAAACAUUUUUCAACCACCAUGGCUUGCCAAAAAGUGUGUGGUUGGCAGGAGGUGGUAGAGGCAGAGGUUUCUCGUGGAACAAAUCUUUCUUUUAUGAAAUGGAGUCUAAAGGUAAAAUGGAGUUUGUUUGAUCAAGGCACAUGUAGUUUGGUCCAUAAUAUUCCAAUUUUAUCUAGAAAUGAUCAAACCCUUGAUUUACCUUCUGAAUCCAGGAAGAGGUUGUAAUUGCCAAACAUAUGAUAAUUUGACUGACAAAAUAUGUUAUUUUAGCAGCUAGGG